rnacentral:rRNA from 1 species
CCUACGGGUGGCAGCAGUGGGGAAUAUUGCACAAUGGGGGAAACCCUGAUGCAGCAACGCCGCGUGAGUGAAGAAGUAUUUCGCUAUGUAAAGCUCUAUCAGCAGGGAAGAAAAUGACAGUACCUGACUAAGAAGCCCCGGCUAACUACGUGCCAGCAGCCGCGGUAAUACGUAGGGGGCAAGCGUUAUCCGGAUUUACUGGGUGUAACGGGAGCGUAGACGGCUGCGCAAGUCUGAAGUGAAAGCCCGGGGCUCAACCGCGGGACUGCUUUGGAAACUGUUAAGCUGGAGUGCAGGAGAGGUAAGUGGAAUUCCUAGUGUAGCGGUGAAAUGCGUAGAUAUUAGGAGGAACACCAGUGGCGAAGGCGGCUUACUGGACUGUAACUGACGUUGAGGCUCGAAAGCGUGGGGAGCAAACAGGAUUAGAUACCCUUGUAGUC